GAUGAAGAACGCAGCGAAAUGCGAUAAGUAAUGUGAAUCGCAGAAUUCAGUGAAUCAUCGAAUCUUUGAACGCACAUUGCGCCCCUUGGUAUUCCAUGGGGCAUGCCUGUUCGAGCGUCAUUUGUACCUUCAAGCUUUGCUUGGUGUUGGGUGUUUGUCUCGCCUCUGCGUGUAGACUCGCCUUAAAACAAUUGGCAGCCGGCGUAUUGAUUUCGGAGCGCAGUACAUCUCGCGCUUUGCACUCAUAACGACGACGUCCAAAAGUACAUUUUUACACUCUUGACCUCGGAUCAGGUAGGGAUACCCGCUGAACUAAAGCAUAUCAAUAAGCGGAGGA
rnacentral:misc_RNA from 1 species